UACAGAGGGGGCAAGCGUUGUUCGGAAUUAUUGGGCGUAAAGGGCGCGUAGGCGGCUCGGCACGUCCGUUGUGAAAUCGCCCGGCUCAACUGGGCGGGGUCAGCGGAUACGACCGAGCUUGAGCAAGCUAGGGGGCAAUGGAAUUCCCGGUGUAGUGGUGGAAUGCGUAGAUAUCGGGAGGAACACCAGUGGCGAAGGCGGUUGCCUGGAGCUUUGCUGACGCUGAUGCGCGAAAGCGUGGGGAGCAAACAGG
rnacentral:rRNA from 1 species